rnacentral:rRNA from 1 species
GCAUCGAUGAAGAACGCAGCGAAAUGCGAUAAGUAAUGUGAAUUGCAGAAUUCAGUGAAUCAUCGAAUCUUUGAACGCACCUUGCGCUCCUUGGUAUUCCGAGGAGCAUGCCUGUUUGAGUGUCAUU